rnacentral:rRNA from 1 species
GAAUUUUGCACAAUGGGCGAAAGCCUGAUGCAGCGACGCCGCGUGGUGGAUGAAGGCCCUCGGGUUGUAAACACCUUUUGUCAGGGAAGAAUAUUUGACGGUACCUGACGAAUAAGAGGUUGCUAACUCUGUGCCAGCAGCCGCGGUAAUACAGAGACCUCAAGCGUUAUCCGGAAUUAUUGGGCGUAAAGCGUACCGAUCGGGGGUUUGGAAAGUCAGCAGUGAAAUCUCAAGGCUCAACCUUGGGGCUGUCUGCCGAAACUUCCAAACUAGAGGGGCAAAGAGGAAGCUGGAACGAGCGGUGUAGUAGUGAAAUGCGUUGAUAUCGCUCGGAACACCAAUAGCGAAGGCAGGCUUCUGGGCGCCACCUGACCCUGCUAGGACGAAAGCGUGGGUAGCGAAUGGG